rnacentral:rRNA from 1 species
AACGAACGCUGGCGGCAGGCCUAACACAUGCAAGUCGAGCGCCCCGCAAGGGGAGCGGCUGACGGGUGAGUAACGGGUGGGAACUUACUUUUUCGUUCGGAACCUCUCUGGGAAACUGGAGUUACUACCGGAUACGCCCUCACGGGGCAAGUUUUAUCGCCGAAAGCUCGGCCCGCGUCUGAUAGGCGCGUUGGCGAGGUAACGGCUCACCAAGGCGGCGUUCUGUAGCUGGUCUGAGAGGAUGAUCAGCCACACUGAGACUGGGACACGGCCCGGACUCCUACGGGAGGCAGCAGUGGGGAAUAGUGGACAAUGGGGGCAAGCCUGAUCCAGCCAUGCCGCGUAAGUUAUGAAGUCCUUAAGGUUGUAAAGCUCUUUUGUCCGGGAAGAUAAUGACGGUACCGGAAGAAUAAGCCCCGGCUAACUACGUG